UACGUAGGGGCAAGCGUUGUCCGGAAUCAUUGGGCGUAAAGAGCGCGUAGGCGGCCCUGUAAGUCCGCUGUGAAAGUCAAGGGCUCAACCCUUGAAUGCCGGUGGAUACUGCAGGGCUAGAGUCCGGAAGAGGCGAGUGGAACUCCUGGUGUAGCGGUGGAAUGCGCAGAUAUCAGGAGGAACACCAAUGGCGAAGGCAGCUCGCUGGGACGUGACUGACGCUGAGACGCGAAAGCGUGGGAGCAAACAGG
rnacentral:rRNA from 1 species